rnacentral:lncRNA from 1 species
UUGGUUUCUUUGUUAUUCCGACGGCCUAGUGCGGCUAUAGUCUCGGCUAAUCCUUACCGCUUUUUAUUUUUUUUUGUUAUGUUUUUAUCUUUUGUCUAAAGUUCAAGGUAAAAUCUCAUAUGGCGAUGAUAUAUGUGGCGCUCGAUUUCGAAGAAUCAAGUCUCUAAGGUUUGUGCUUUGCCGGAGGAGUAUCGAGCUUCGAAUUUAACUCCUAGUUGGAUUAGAUCUCAAGAUCUAGAGAAUCAAUAAAGACUUGGAAGUUUAAAAAAAAAAGCGCAAGAAGAUCUGAUAUAGCAUGGUAUCGUUUAUCCUCAGUAGGAAUCAGAGGUGAUUCAGUUGCUGAUUUGAGAAUCGUUAACUUUUUCAUAUGAUUACCAGGUCAAGAAAUUUUUCAUAUGAUUACCAGGUCAAGAAAUUAUCAUUCGGUCUGUUUUCUUUUUGCCGGCGAAUGUUCCAAACCGACGCGUGUUCACAAAGCGAUGAAGUUCGAUGUAAUAAGCAUCUGUGCGAUAAGCUUCCACGUUGAGAGAUGUGAUCGUGCGUUUUAAUUAUCUUUGCUUAAGGGUUUACUUUGUUGGGCUUGGUUUUCAUUUUCAGGUCCAGUAGAAAAUAAUGGCCUAUGUUUAUCUUGGUUUACUCAUAACCAAGCAUUGUAUGGUUUCUUUGGUUUUAUUAAUAAUAAUAAUAC